GACGAACGCUGGCGGCGUGCCUAAUACAUGCAAGUUGAGCGCUGAAGGUUGGUACUUGUACCAACUGGAUGAGCAGCGAACGGGUGAGUAACGCGUGGGGAAUCUGCCUUUGAGCGGGGGACAACAUUUGGAAACGAAUGCUAAUACCGCAUAAAAACUUUAAACACAAGUUUUAAGUUUGAAAGAUGCAAUUGCAUCACUCAAAGAUGAUCCCGCGUUGUAUUAGCUAGUUGGUGAGGUAAAGGCUCACCAAGGCGAUGAUACAUAGCCGACCUGAGAGGGUGAUCGGCCACAUUGGGACUGAGAAACGGCCCAAACUCCUACGGGAGGCAGCAGUAGGGAAUCUUCGGCAAUGGACGAAAGGCUGACCGAGCAACGCCGCGUGAGUGAAGAAGGUUUUCGGAUCGUAAAACUCUGUUGGUAGAGAAGAACGUUGGUGAGAGUGGAAAGCUCAUCAAGUGACGGUAACUACACAGAAAGGGACGGCUAACUACGUG
rnacentral:rRNA from 1 species